ACGUAGGUGGCAAGCGUUGUCCGGAUUUAUUGGGCGUAAAGCGAGCGCAGGCGGUUUGUUAAGUCAGAUGUGAAAUCCCCGGGCUCAACCUGGGAACUGCAUCUGAUACUGGCAAGCUUGAGUCUCGUAGAGGGGGGUAGAAUUCCAGGUGUAGCGGUGAAAUGCGUAGAGAUCUGGAGGAAUACCGGUGGCGAAGGCGGCCCCCUGGACGAAGACUGACGCUCAGGUGCGAAAGCGUGGGGAGCAAACAG
rnacentral:rRNA from 1 species